UUCAUGUAUCCCAGACUGGCCUUGAACCUUUAUGUAGGUGAGGAUGACCAAGAACUCCUGAUUCUUCAGCUUCCAUUUCCCCAGUGCUGGGAAUACAAAUUCACACCACCACAUCUGGCUUAUGGUUUACCCCGGGGACCAGAACCUCAUCAACAGAGCUAAGUCAUCUGUACAUUGACUUUCCUAGACAGUCGUUUGAGCUCAUCCUUGUGAUACACUCCUGUGCUGUGACAUUUACUACAUCAAAAUGUAACAUCACAGUUUAAAAUAUGUGCUUAAUUAGGAAGACACUUGGUGUUUGGUGGCUGAAAUGUGUUUCAAUUAAAAGGUGUAGAAACAGAUGUUUAGUGUACUGGAGUUUCCCAAUAUGCUCUGCCUUGUCUUAACCUGCAAGCUUACAUUACUUUCUUUGUGUACUUUGCAAACAUGGGCAGAGUUGGUACUUCGCCUCUCUUCAAUGCAAUGAUAUUGGAGACAGGAAAAUUUUAGAGAGAGAGGGAGAGGGAGAGAGAGAGGGAGAGGAGAGAUUGUUAUCAAUUAAUGUAUCUGGUAUCUGAGCAGAAAAUUGCAGAAGAACCAGCUAUUCCUAUACUCGGCCCAUGGAGAUGCCAAGGGGGGUUUGAAACUGAUUGCUCUGGUAAUGAAGAACUAGGUUGUGUUUACUGUGAUAAUCUUCAUUGUUAAUUUAAUUGGUUGUAGAAUCAUCUAGGAGAUUUCCAGCAAGGUUUCACAAAGGAGGGAAGAUCCACAGUGAAAUAUGGCUGGUACCAGACAGUCAGCUGGUGUCUCUGAACUGAAGUUGAGUACCAGUAUUUUCUUCCUGCUUUUUGGUCCAUCCAGAUGUUAAGCAAGCAGCUCUAUGCUUCUGCUCACAUAUCUUCAAAAGGCAGCUGCCAGCCCAGCCCCGAAGGACUGACCCCUCAGGCCACAAUAUGCCCUUUGCCAUUAGCUUCUUCUUCUUGUCAGGAGAGCUCAAGAGUGAGAAGACAAAGAGGACCAAGCAAUGAAGAAGUGUUGAAUUGAAUCAGUCAGACAAAGUGCUGUGACUCUUCCCACUGGAAUAAAUACCAACCGUGGAGCCCAGAGUGUAGCAAGAGAACUCAUGCUGGAGUCUUAGCAAAGAUGGGAGAAUGGAUGCAUAAGGCUUUCCUGGAGUUACUGGGCUGACUAAAUCACUCUGUGUAGCCAUAUAACAGCUGGACAUGUGUCAGUUCAAGUCCUAAGAUACUUCCCUUUGAGAGAAGAUUCGAAAAGUUUGGACUACAGUAGCUUCUAGGUUUAGUGAAUUAACCCAGCACAUUUGUUGAAUGUUCUUAUGCAUUCUUGACUGUAUUUUUUUCCUGGCAGAUGGUUAGAAUUGUAAGCGAUUGCUCCAUAGAGUAUGCAUGGGUCGUGAGUGGAGUCAGACAUCCAUCAGGCAAAACAGUGAACACAACUAUUUCUUAUUUGUGUGUGUAUGUGCACAGGGAUGAUGGGGCACACAUAGAGAGCAGAAGAUAGCCGUCGGGAGUCAGUUCUUCCCUUCUACCUUAUGAGUCUUUAGGACUGAACCCAGCUCAUCAGGUUUGAAGUAAAUGCUGUCACUCUCUGAGCCAGCCUUCUAGCUCCAAACACCAUGAUUUCUGGCAUUAAUUAGCAAGGAAAUAAAUGUAAGGGUUACGACUAAAAGUGUUGAAGACAAGGCAGAGGUGGGGCAUUCCUAACAGGGACUAGAAUGGUGAAAAACAGAAGCAGCAGGCAAGGGUGACUUUGGCCCUUUCUUCUGCAGGAACUCCGACAUCACUAGGAGGCCAGAGUCCUCCAGUCAGGUGUUGUUUUGUAUCUAGGGAAACAUAUGUCUCCCAGACAACAUGUCACUAUCUACGGGCAAUAAAGGAGACUAGAUACCU